rnacentral:lncRNA from 1 species
AGAGCAUACAUGGCACAGCAGCAGCAGCCUCAUCCUGCUGCCCUCUCUGGCAGCACCUUCACCUCAAUCAGGGCAUAACAACCAACAGGUGCUUCAAGUUUUGCUCACUGGGGCUGAGGAUCUCCUGGGAUAGCCCUGGGACAGACCUGGGCAGAAUGUCCCUCCCUGAGUCUUUAAUUUUGGUUUACCAGCUACUUUUGUGCUUCUGCUCUCCUCUGAGCUUGUGGAAAUGGCUUUUUUGUGGGUCAUUGCUCCUGUGAUGGGCUUGGAAGAAGAUGGUUGAGAGUAUUCCACUUGCUAUUGUAUCUCUGUUCUUCUUUUUAAGCGUGCAGAUGAGCUUUUAGCACAUAAAAUCUUCUAUCGCAUUUAUCUGUGGCUUUUGGAAUUUUUACCAUGCCACUGUGGGAGCUUAUGACAGAAGCACAUAAAAGGAAAAGUACUAAAAUCUCCUUUGCUGUAUCCAUGCAAGAUCCUGCACCCUACUGCAAACUGUCAAGGUUGUUUCAACUAACACUGCUCAAUGAAAGAGUCUCAGAGUAACCUAAGUGCAAGCUGAUGUCACAGUUGCUAAGAAAUUCACCCCAACGUCUCUUCUCAAGGGGAACUGAGAGCUGGGGUGGCAGGUCUGGGCUGAAGUACUGUGCAGCAGGCAGCUGCUCGUUAUCUGUCCUCUUGCAAAGAAAAUGCAAGAGAUGCGAUUGCUCCCCUUCCAUGUGGACUGCUCUUCAAUAGCUGGUUAGCCAUGGGAUUAUUUUAGCUUCAUUCAGGUGACCUUAAAUGGUAAGGACAAAAACACUCACCAAGCAAAGUAAGUGGCUCAGCCUCAUAGCACAGCCGAACAUCUUGUCAUAGCAAAAUUUAGUUACCUUUAAUUCAAGAAUUGCAUUGUGCAGCUCCUUCUGCUGAAUUUAGCAGUUACUCCUAUUUAUAGUUACUCCACUGACCUGAACAUACCCUGAGAAAACGUGUACCUCUCUCCCUGUAAGACGUUUUCUUCUAGGCCUUGCUGUCACUCACUGUGAGGACUACUCCUAUGCUGCAUACACAGGCAAGCUCAAACACUGUUAUGAGCCUAACACUGGUGCCAAAAAAACUCAGAGCUGUUAAUGUCUGCCUACUACCAUCCUCCUGAGGCUCAUGUGUUCAGCAUUAAUAAACUCAGGUUUCAAUUUACCCUGCUGCA